rnacentral:rRNA from 1 species
AGCGAACGCUGGCGGCGUGCUUAACACAUGCAAGUCGUGCGAGAAAGGGAGCUACGGCUUCUGAGUAGAGCGGCGCACGGGUGCGUAACACGUGGGUGAUCUGUCCCGAGGUUGGGGAUACCCCGCCGAAAGGUGGGAUAAGACCCGAUACGCCCCUGGCCUUGCGAGGCGAGGGGGAAAGGAUGCGGUUGCGGUCGCAUGCGCGUCGGGAGGAGCCCGCGGCCUAUCAGCUUGUUGGUAGGGUAACGGCCUACCAAGGCGAUGACGGGUAGCUGGU